CCACGUCAGGAAAAGUUGUGCGCCAGGACAGAAUCAGAAAACGUAUUGUUUACCUAGCAGUGGAUACGAUCACAACUUAAAAUGCAGCUCAUGCAAGUUCAGAAACAGGUAAUCAGAUGGUUAUCAUCUACAACAUCACAGAUGUCAUCAGAAGAUUGAUUACCUAGCAAGCCAGUGAGCUAAGGACAACAACCGCUCCCUCAACGUCAGUAAGACCAAGGAGCUGAUUGUGGAUUCUAGGAGAAAGAGGGGAGAGCACGCCCCCAUCCACAUCGACAGGGCUGUUGUGGAGCGGGUCGAGAGCUUCAAGUUCCUUGGCGUCCAAGGAUCUAACAUGGUCCACACACACUUGCACAGUCGUGAAGAGAGCACGGUCUCAGGAGGCUGAAAAUAUUUGGCAUAGGCCAUCAGAUCUUCAAAAGGUUAUACAGCUGAAACAUCAAGAGCAUCUUGACUGGCUGCAUCACUGCUUGGAAUAGCAAAUGCACCGUAGACCCCAAAGCGCUACAGACGGUGGUGCUUAUGGCCCAAUACAUCACUGGGCCAAACUCGGUUUGAGAGGUUUCAGCCACCCAAGUCAUGGACUGUUCUCUCUGCUACUGGCACGGCAAUCGGUACUGGAGCGCUAAGUCUUGGACCAAAAGGUUCCUGAAAAGCUUCUACCCCCACGCCAUAAGACUGCUGAACAUUUAAUCAAAUGGCUACCCGGACUAUUUACAUUGAGCCCUUCCAUUUUUUUGCACAGAAUCUCUUGUACUGUCUCUAUGCACACUAACUUGACUCUACCCACGCACGCACACAUACAACACUGACACUCCAGCACACACACACAUACACACACUACAUAAGCUCACACACACACAUGCAUAUUGAUGCCACACACACACAAUCACACAGACACACUUUCACACUCUUCACAUACGCUGCUGCUACUCUGUUUAAUAUAUAUCCUGAUUGCCUAGUCAUUUUUGCCCCGACCUACCCCGAUGUACAUACAGCUUAGCCAAGUACAUUUAAACUCAGUUUUUCACAAUUCCUUACAUUUAAUCCUAGUAAAUAUUCCCUGUCUUAGGUCAGUUAGGAUCACCACUUUAUUUUAAGAAUGUGAAAUUUCUGAAUAAUAGCAGAGAGAAUGAUUUAUUUCAGCUUUUAUUUCUUUCAUCAUAUUCCCAGUGGGUCAGAAGUUUACGUACACUCAAAUAGUAUUUGGUAGCAUUGUCUUUAAAUUGUUCAACUUGGGUCAAACGUUUCGGGUAGCCUUCCACAAGCUUCCCACAAUAGGUUGGAUGAAUUUUGGCCCAUUCCUCCUGACAGAGCUGGUGUAACUGAAUCCGGUUUGUAGGCCUCCUUGCUCGCACAUGCUUUUUCAGUUUUUCUAUGGGAUUGAGGUCAGGGCUUUGUGAUGGCCACUCCAAUACCUUGACUUUGUUGUCCUUAAACCAUUUUGCCACAACUUUGGAAGUAUGCUUGGGGUCAUUGUCCAUUUGGAAGACCCAUUUGCGACCAAGCUUUAACUUCCAACUGAUGUCUUGAGAUGUCUCUUCAAUAUAUCCACAUAAUUUUACUUUCCUCAUGAUGCCAUCUAUUUUGUGAAGUGCACCAGUCCCUCCUGCAGCAAAGCACCCCCCCACGGUUGGGAUGGUGUUCUUUGCUUGCAAGCCUCCCCUUUUUCCUCCAAACAUAACGAUGGUCAUUAUGGCCAAACAGUUCUAUUUUUGUUUCAUCAGACGAGAGGACAUUUCUCCAAAAAAUACAAUCUUUGUCCCCAUGUGCAGUUGCAAAACAUAGUCUGGCUUUUUUAUGGCGGUUUUGGAUCAGUGGCUUCUUCCUUGCUGAGCGGCCUAUAGGACUUGUUUUACUGUGGAUAUAGAUACUUUUGUACCUGUUUCCUCCAGCAUCUUCACAAGGUCCUAUGCUGUUGUUCUGGGAUUGAUUUGCACUUUUUGCACCAAAGUACGUUCAUUUCUAGGAGAUAGAAUGCAUCUCCUUUCUGAGCGGUAUGACGGCUACGUGGUCCCAUGGUGUUAAUACUUGUGUACUAUUGUUUGUACAGAUGAACGUGAUACAUUCAGGCAUUUGGAAAUUGCUCCCAAGGAUGAACCAGACCUGUGGAGGUAUCCAAUUUUAUUCUGAGGUCUUGGCUGAUUUCUUUUGAUUUUCCCAUGAUGUCAAGCAAAGAGGCACUGAGUUUGAAGGUAGGCCUUGAAAUACAUCCAAAGGUACACCUCCAAUUGACUCAAAUGAUGUCAAUUAGCCUAUCAGAAGCUUCUAAA
rnacentral:lncRNA from 1 species